GACCUCGUAGCUUAACGGUAGAGCAAUGGACUGUUAAUCCAGUGGUUACGGGUUCAAAUCCCGUCGAGGUCU
rnacentral:tRNA from 1 species